AGAGGAAGUAAAAGUCGUAACAAGGUUUCCGUAGGUGAACCUGCGGAAGGAUCAUUAACGAGUAACUGAACAGGUUGUAGCUGGCCUCUCGGGGCAUGUGCACGCCUGGCUCAUCCACUCUUCAACCACUGUGCACUUAUUGUAGGUCGGUUCAGAAGGGCGAGUGUAACAGCUCGCUCGGAAGGCCUUCCUAUGUUUUAUUACAAACGCUUCAGUUUAAGAAUGUAAACCUGCGUAUAACGCAUCUAUAUACAACUUUCAGCAACGGAUCUCUUGGCUCUCGCAUCGAUGAAGAACGCAGCGAAAUGCGAUAAGUAAUGUGAAUUGCAGAAUUCAGUGAAUCAUCGAAUCUUUGAACGCACCUUGCGCUCCCUGGUAUUCCGGGGAGCAUGCCUGUUUGAGUGUCAUGGUAUUCUCAUCCUUCAUAACUUUUGUUAUCGAAGGCAUGGACUUGGAGGUCGUGCUGGUUCCUCGUUGAAUCGGCUCCUCUUAAAUGCAUUAGCGUGAGUGUAACGGAUCGCUUCGGUGUGAUAAUUAUCUGCGCCGUGGUCGUGAAGUAACAUAAGCUUGCGCUUCUAACCGUCCUUAAGCUGGACAACUUACUUUGACAUCUGACCUCAAAUCAGGUAGGACUACCCGCUGAACUUAAGCAUAUCAAU
rnacentral:rRNA from 1 species